CUGCCCAUGCUCGCCUGCAAGGGAAACACUGGAGUUUGCUCAGGAUUGUGUUGGUCUCAUACCUCCAUAGGUGAUAAAUGAGGUGCUGUUGGAAAGAGCAAUACCUUUGGAAAGCUACUGGGCACAAGUUCAGAAGCUAAGUAAGAACCUCCCAGCUCAAGUUUUGCAGCUGGCAAACUGCUGUUCUCCCACUGUGCACAGGGAUGCCCACCCCUCUCCGCGGUACUCCCUCACAAAUCUUUACUCAGCUGCAGCUGGGACACUUGCAAUUCAAUCCCGCAGAUAUCUAGCCACCCAUGAGUCCCUCUGGAAUAGCUGCAAUUAGCUGAAGAAAAAAUACAACCACUGUCAGACUUUGCAGUAAUACAGAGGUAAGGAUGCAUGAGAAACUCCUACCAUGCAAGUACUUCUGCACAGAGGAGAUUCCAGCAAACUUUUAGGAGCGCUAGUGAUCAUGCUAAUCUCCAGCACAACUUGAGGCCUGAGAGCCUCACCUCUGUGCCCUGUCAGAAAUGCAUUUUUUCUCAAAAGGCCAUGCUACAGCUGCCCUGGUAUGUCUAUCCCAAACACAAACCAUAGAAAAAGCCAGCAGCUCACAUCACAGAACAGGUAAAUAUGCUGACUCUGGAUUUACACUGGUAAAUAAGGAUCUGAAUGUAUUUCUAGCAAUGCUUUUAUCUUUUCCAGGACCAGCAUCUUUUUCACCUAGAAAGUCCUUUUCUAUGUUGUUUUUUAAAUACUCUGGAUUCUUGGAGGGCUCGAUCACGUAUUUGCUGUGGUUUCAAAAAACUUUUUACUGUGUUGUGCAUGGAAAAGUGUGGAACUAAAGGCUUGAAUUGCUUUAGGAUGAGCACACAACCUGCUUUCAUACAACCUUUUUCUAAGAAGAAAUAAUGAAAUUAUUGUGGAUCCUGCUCAUUAUAGGCUUAACUACAUCUCGAACACAUUACCACGACAGCGAUGAAACUCAGCCUUGCCUUGUCUGGGAUCAAGAACUGUACGAAGCUGGGAUGCUGGGACAGAUGAGCCCCACAGAAGAGGAAGCCGAGGGACCUUACCGUGGUGCUACUGCUGUGCAAAUCCCUUGCUGGGGCAAGGAACUCUCGGAAGCCACCUUGUCUCUGGGAAAAAAAACACAUCCCAAACCUCAACAGGUCGCGCCACCAGCCCAGCAGGUUGUGCCUGAGUUUCGGCUGGAGAACAGGCUCCAGGUCUCUCCUAACAGGAUGGAGGUUCCCCCCCGGUGUCGCUUUCCAGCGCCUUCCAAGCCCACUCCGCGACACCCGGGUCCCGCAGCAUCCCAAGCUCCCCGGGACAGCUUCACAAAGGAAAGAUUGCAAACUCCCCUUUCCCGCCACGCUUCCCCCAAGCCCCGUUUCCCAGGAGCAACAGGCGGGCCCGGCAGUCCCGCGUCCCGGACUCACCGCCGAGAGCAGCGCCCCAGCGCAGGCAGAGGCACACGGCGGCCAGCAGCGCCUUCCUCCACAUCUCGCCUCCUCCGCGGGCACGAAAGUUUCGGCGCGAAAAGAAAAAAAAAAAUUAAAAAUUAAAAAAUAAUCAUGAUUAGAUGGAAAAGAAGCUUCAUGGCAUCAACUCAAGGUGCUUCAGUGCAAUCAUUAACUGGACUUGAGUUCCUCUUCCUCUGUGAAAUACAUAAUCCCAGAGGGGAAAGCAAGGCUCCGUCUGUAACACAGAGCCUGAUUUAUAGUGUUCAUGGACUCCAAAGUGGGUAGAAGGUACUAUAGUGAGAGCUGAAAUACACUGCUUCUAAUAAGGACUGGGGAAAGCCUGGACAGUGAAGAGAGAAGUUGCAUAAUCAGAUUGGUGCUUGCACCCACAGACCAUGUAGAAGGUUAAGGCAGAGACAAGCCCAGAAGUGUCUCCAACACAAUGUGGGCAGCAUUGCGGUGCAGCUGUGCUAAAACCCCAGCAAACCCACUGGCCUCACCCAGCAAGGAGAGAACAACCAGAAAAUUUCAUUUCCACAACAAUGCUCCAAAGACAGCUUGAAGCACAAGGAGAAGGGAAGGGGGCUGACACAAUGUGACACUGAAUGUUUUUGUACUGCUUUAACAUAAAAGAUUUUAUAACUGAGGGUGAGAAGUCUUCCAACAAAAGUAUCUGCUUAGAAACAAGCAGAAAACAUUCUGGUCUCCUUCUGACUAGGAAAUACGAGUAAGAAGACUUCUCUUUUUUUUCUUUCUGUAAAUAUUUGAAUUUUUUCUUUCCCCACCCAGAAGAAAAAUAGUGAAAAUAAAGCCAAAACCUCAGCAUAAACUUCCAGAUUAUUUCUGUACUAAUGAAUUCAAAGAAACAAACAAAAAAUGAUCCUUUUAUCCUACUUCUAUUUUGUUCAAAGAUAUCAGUGAAAUGUAUUUUUUCAAAUGUGUUUUUUUCUGAAAAUCAGCCAUUUUCUCUCCAGUUUGAGAAUAAAAAAAUUCCUCUUCCCUUCUUGUUUCAAUAACCACUAACUGGGCUACAGUUACUUUACAUGCAGCAAGUCCUCUUAUCCUAAGCCUCUUUGCUUCAAGUGAGGAGCAACACUACAUCAGGACACCCAGGUGCCUGAGGGUGACUAUUGAGCCUGUCCCACCUGCGCUCAUCAGCAGGCCCUUUGUGCGGCUCACUAUCGGGCGCUUUUCCCCACUGGCAGUGAGCGAGGACCACUGGUACCUUUCAGAAGGGGAGGGACAGCCCAGUGACAGGCAGGAGUGCAGGCAGGUGAGAGCUACAGCUGCACCAAAGCCUGUGUGUGGUGGUUAUCCUGAAUCUCCCUAAAUGGGCAGAUGGGAAAGGUGGCAGCAGGAACAACCUGGGUGUCUGCUUAGGAACAUAGUAUGUGUGCCUUCACUAGCACCUGUCAGUAUGUGGAAGAGCCCAGCUGAAGGCAUGGAAAUACUGGGAGCUAUGCAGCAGCUGCAGCUCUGACUGCAGUAGACAGGACACCUGUUCCUCCUGAUAACUUUUCUGUUCUGCAGAGAGGUUCUUCCAGUCUUUGGUGUCAUAGGAAACAAGAGGAGGCUUGUGUAAAACAGUCUUUAGCUGUUAUGUCUUGCUGUAUUUUUCCAUUCUAUUGCUGUGAUAUCACUUGCUGUUCUGUUCCCAGAUUGUCUUAUCUUACAGACAAGGUCCUCUUACUGAUUAGCACAAGGAUUCAUUCCUCUUCAUCCCACUCCAGUGCACUAUGAAAGCUACUAAUUCCUUUAAAAAAAAAUAGAGAUAUGGAAGCAUGCCUUGCUCUGGUAGUGAGUUGUGGAUCUGGUUGUGAUGCAAC